UAGCCAUGCGAGUCAACGUAGCAAUACGUGGCACACGGCUCAGUAACACGUAGUCAACAUAACCAGAGGACGUGGAUAAACUCGGGAAACUGAGGCUAAACCGCGAUAGACCAAGAUACCUGGAAUGGUUUUUGAUCAAAAUCUAUAUGGCCUUUGGAUUGGACUGCGACCGAUCAGGCUGUUGGUGAGGUAAUGGCCCACCAAACCAGUAACCGGUACGGGCUCUGAGAGGAGGAGCCCGGAGAUGGGUACUGAGAAAAGGACCCAGGCCCUAUGGGGCGCAGCAGGCGCGAAACCUCUGCAAUAGGCGAAAGCCUGACAGGGUUAUUCUGAGUGACUUUCGCUAAGAAAGUCUUUUGACAUCUCUAAAAAUGGUGUAGAAUAAGGGGUGGGCAAGUCUGGUGCCAGCCGCCGCGGUA
rnacentral:rRNA from 1 species